ensembl:snoRNA LOC120100280 small nucleolar RNA SNORD115
GGGUCAAUGAUGACAACAGAAUGUCAAGAACAUGAUGACAUAAAAAUCAUGCUCAAUAGAAUUAGGCUGAGGCCC